ensembl:snRNA U6 U6 spliceosomal RNA
GUGCUUAUUUUGGCAGCAUAUAUACUAAAAUUAGAAAGAUACAGAGAAGAUUAGCAUGGCCUCUGUGCAAGGAUGACAACCCAGUUCUUUUAAAAGAGCUCUCUUUCC